GUUUUUGAGUGUUUGGCAGUAUCGUAGCCAAUGAGGUUUAUCCGAGGCGCGAUUAUUGCUAAUUGAUUAUUGCUAAUUGAGUGUUUGUGACUCUAGGGAUGACAGACUACUUCACUGAGUGACUGUCACUAGG
rnacentral:snRNA from 1 species